UGGGGAAUAUUGGACAAUGGGCGCAAGCCUGAUCCAGCAAUGCCGCGUGUGUGAAGAAGGCCUUCGGGUUGUAAAGCACUUUUAUCAGGAGCGAAACGCUGUCGGCUAAUACCCGGCGGAACUGACGGUACCUGAGGAAUAAGCACCGGCUAACUUCGUGCCAGCAGCCGCGGUAAUACGAAGGGUGCAAGCGUUAAUCGGAAUUACUGGGCGUAAAGCGUGCGUAGGCGGUUUCUUAAGUCUGCUGUGAAAUCCCCGGGCUCAACCUGGGAAUGGCAGUGGAUACUGGGAGGCUAGAGUGUGUCAGAGGGUGGUGGAAUUCCCGGUGUAGCGGUGAAAUGCGUAGAGAUCGGGAGGAACAUCAGUGGCGAAGGCGGCCACCUGGGACAACACUGACGCNUGAGGCACGAAAGCGUGGGGAGCAAACAGGAUUAGAUANCCCUGGUAGUCCACGCCCUAAACGAUGCGAACUGGAUGUUGGUCUCAACUCGGAGAUCAGUGUCGAAAGCUAACGCGUUAAGUUCGCCGCCUGGGGAGUACGGUCGCAAGACUGAAACUCAAAUGAAUUGAC
rnacentral:rRNA from 1 species